ACUCAACUGACGAGUCCCAAAGAGAACGAAAUACGCAUCCUGGAU
rnacentral:hammerhead_ribozyme from 1 species